AUUGUUAUUUUCCUGACAUUGAGUCGAAAUAUGCAUGAUUGCAAUUUACGGGAAAUUAUAAAUCAUCGCGCCUCAUCGAUCGUAUUACUUUGGGACGUCCGACCUGCCAUUGAGUCGUACUACUUGAAUUCGAUUUCUCGAUAGAAACGGUAGCGACUCGUAGUGGAGAUUUUGGAACUAUGGGCUAUUCGUACAAGCAGAUUCCGCACUCUCUAUCUUAACGUCACAGAGGACGACAGCAAGCCGACGAAGCUGUUGAGACAGAAUAUUGGUAUGAGCGAAUUAUACAGAUCAAAGGUAUCGCAAGGAUAAACGCACAUAUAUAUCUGUCGUUGGAAGACGAACAAUAUGCCAUCACCUGUCGGGAAGAAGCAAAGAAGCGUCACCUACUGGGUCAUUAUACCGUUAAUAAUAGGUCUACACGUAGGUUGGUACUCUUUGCAACAGACUUACGUGUCGCCAAACGAAAGACACGAACAUCCACUGAUCAAGAUAUUUAAGAAAUAUACCGCAUAGGAGCGUGGAAUGUAUCAUGUUACGUGAUAAUUGUGGGAUAUGUUAUUUAUUAGAAAAUUUCUUUAUUAUAAGAGAUAUACAUACCGCGUUUGUUCCUACGUGCAAGUACAAACGUAAGUCUUGUUUGAAAUUGAAAUAAAGGUCUGAAAAUUA